UAGAGAAACGGGCAAAAGGCUAAAGUCAAACAAUAACUGUAAUUCAAUUUUUGCGCUCUCAUUUUUAAGCCUUUUUCGUCAUGGUUACACUCUGGUUAAAACAAAGGCUUACAUUGGUGUUUAGUAAACACUGUUUACCCAAUUUUCAACACUUUUAAACCUCGACGAUUUUACCAUGUCCAGCGAACCGGUCAUUGAAACUGAUAAAACUUUGAUUGGAUCAAAGACUAAAUUUGAUAUAUCCAGAUGUGAAACUGUCCACUAAAUAACUCGAGAGCCAUGUUAUCGAUUCGUUCAAAAAUAUCUAAUUAUGAAUGAUGGAGUGUAUAUUGUUUGCCAAUCAUUAUGUUUGUUAAAUGAAACGUUUCCUUUGCAGUUCAAAGCAACUCAAAUUGGACAACUUCCAGAGUUGAGACAAGUUCAGGUUAUUAACUCUUCAAUAACAGUUGAUCAGAAUUUUUCUUCGUUUAAUUCUUCCAUUCAUCUGUCUUCACCUUUUAACCGUCUUUCAUGACUAUUAACUACACUUACCGGCAGGUAUAAUAUGGAAUAUACAUGGUUCCUUUUGUUUACCAAUUGAAUUUUCAGCAAGACACAAUAGUGAUCCAUAAGAUAAUCUUGUUCGAGGUACCAUCUAAAGGUUACAUCAUCCGGAUCUGAAUCUACCUCACAGACAAUCCUUGCUCUCUCAUUACGUGCAAUAGCCAUUGGACUUUUGGUGGCAUGUUUACCUGAACAAACCGGAAUAUCUGGAAAAGAAAGCAAGAGAAACAUAAUGAUGUAAAGAGUAAAAGGAUAAUUAUAAAAACUGACAAAGUCUAUUAAAAGAGCAACUAAGGAUGAAAGGAUGAAAAGGGAAAACAAAACCAAGGAAAAAAAAGAUGAUGAGAAACUAAUGAUGAAACCAGUUUUCAUGUCAAUUCAAUACUUUCCAAUCAACUGACUAAAUAACUUAAUCUAAUAAUGUAAUAAGUGAAAAGCGGACGAAAAAAUUGAGAAAACAUUUUUUCCUUUUUUUUGGGUUCAUCUUUUCGUGAAGUAAACACAUCAUUAUUAUGAGCAGGUUUCAUGAUGAACACCAAGGAUAAGUUGGCAAUGAAUGCCGUUGACAAGAGUUAAUUAGCUAACUUAUAUUACUUUACCCAUCAUAACUGUAACUAACAACGAAAAUGUUGUUGGCUUUUUGCUUUGUUUGUCACAUUUAUCUGUUCUCGCUUUUCACUUCCAACACUUUUCUCACAACAAGACAAUUUCAAUCCUAAAUCAAGAGAUCACUUUUACUAUUAAUUUGCUUCUGACGAUCAACUUGAUUAUCAUAUUCAUUAGACAGUGAAAUGAUAUUAUUGAAGGAAAGAAAAGCUUCAACCUUGAUUGAUCGAUCACUGAAACACUGAUUCAAGUAACCUGUAAGAAUUGAAAUAAUCAAAUAAUCACAAAUUCAAUCCAUUAUUUGAUGGAAUUGAAAAUUUUAUGAAAUCCGAUUCAACGAUUGAUCUAAUGGUUCCACUAACUCCCAAUCAACAUUUCCUUUGAUUGAUCAUCAAAUUGGUAAUUUGCAAAUUGGAAACAAAAAUAUUUAACUUUUAAUGUAAUCUCAACGUAAUAGAUGAUGAGACAAGAUGGAUUGAUUGAAAUUUUUACCCUCAACAAUCAAGGGAAUUGCUAACCACGCAAAUUGUCAAUGUUUUUUUGCUCAACAUCAACAUUUUAUUUUGUCAUCGAAACUUUUUCAUCUUUCACCAUUUCAAUGGCAACAAAGAGGUGAAUCAAAAAAAGUGUUUUAUUAUAACUUGAUAACCAACUUCAUCAUCCUUUUAAUAUAAGAAACCAGGGAAAGAAUCGAAAGAUUGAAAUGAUUAAUCUUCCUUUUUUGGGUGACAUUUAACCACAAGAUACUCCAACAAGGUAUCCAUUAUCUUUGCCAAAAAAAGAGAAAUUCAGAGAACUCAGGAAAUUCUGAUUAUUCACUUUCUGUUAUAUCCUUGGAUUUCCGUUUCUCUAACAUUGCUUCAAAAUGGUAAUAACUUUUACUCAAUUCAUUCUGUCUCAUUAACUAAUAAAGCACAAUAAUAUUAACAAAAAGUCUGAUGAUGAUGAAGUGGUUAUCAGUUUGAUUUACUUCAUAAUGCUAGCUUUAUUAAUAUGGAUUCAAGCUCAAUAUUUGUGACAAUGGCUGAUGAAUUGGUUCAAGGAAAUGACAAUUACAUUGUCAUUCAAUUAUCGAGUUAACUUUCACUGUUUUGGUUACUUACAUUGAAC